rnacentral:rRNA from 1 species
CACGUAGGGGGCAAGCGUUGUCCGGAUUUAUUGGGCGUAAAGAGCUCGUAGGUGGUUCGGUAAGUCGGGUGUUAAACCCCCAGGCUCAACCUGGGGACGCCACUCGAUACUGCUGUGACUUGAGUCCGGUAGGGGAGCGUGGAAUUCCUGGUGUAGCGGUGAAAUGCGCAGAUAUCAGGAGGAGCACCAGCGGCGAAGGCGGCGCUCUGGGCCGGUACUGACACUGAGGAGCGAAAGCGUGGGUAGCAAACAGG